UACGUAGGGUGCAAGCGUUGUCCGGAAUUAUUGGGCGUAAAGAGCUCGUAGGCGGUCUGUCGCGUCUGCUGUGAAAACUCAGGGCUUAACCCUGAGCUUGCAGUGGGUACGGGCGAGACUAGAGUGCGGUAGGGGAGGACUGGAAUUCCUGGUGUAGCGGUGAAAUGCGGCAGACUAGUCAGGAGGAACACCCGGUGGCGAAGGCGGGUCUCUGGGC
rnacentral:rRNA from 1 species